CGGAUGUGGCGAAAUUGGUAGACGCACUAGACUUAGGAUCUAGCGCCGCGAGGCAUGGGGGUUCGAGUCCCUCCACCCGCACUA
rnacentral:tRNA from 1 species